rnacentral:rRNA from 1 species
AACGAACGCUGGCGGCAGGCUUAACACAUGCAAGUCGAACGCAUCCUUCGGGGUGAGUGGCGGACGGGUGAGUAACGCGUGGGAACGUGCCCAGAGGUACGGAAUAACUGAGGGAAACUUCAGCUAAUACCGUAUGAGCCCCGCAAGGGGGAAAGAUUUAUCGCCUUUGGAGCGGCCCGCGUCGGAUUAGCUAGUUGGUGAGGUAACGGCUCACCAAGGCUUCGAUCCGUAGCUGGUCUGAGAGGACGACCAGCCACACUGGGACUGAGACACGGCCCAGACUCCUACGGGAGGUAGCAGUGGGGAAUCUUGCGCAAUGGGGGCAACCCUGACGCAGCCAUGCCGCGUGAACGAUGAAGGCCUUAGGGUUGUAAAGUUCUUUUACCCGUGACGAUGAUGACGGUAACGGGAGAAUAAGCUCCGGCUAACUUCGUGCCAGCAGCUGCGGUAAACCGAGAGUA